rnacentral:rRNA from 1 species
UACAGAGGUCCCAAGCGUUGUUCGGAUUCACUGGGCGUAAAGGGUGCGUAGGUGGUCAGGUAAGUCUGAUGUGAAAGCUCUGGGCUCAACCCAGAAAUGGCAUUGGAUACUAUCUGGCUAGAGGAAUGGAGGGGGACUGGAAUACUUGGUGUAGCAGUGAAAUGCGUAGAUAUUCGGAAGAACACCAGUGGCGAAGGCGACUCGCUGGACAGGUAUUGACGCUGAGGUGCGAAAGCGUGGGGAGCAAACAGG